GAUAAACGCUAGCGGCAGGCCUAACACAUGCAAGUCGAGGGGUAACGAUGUCUUCGGACAGUCGACGACCGGCGCACGGGUGAGUAUCGCGUUUGUAACCUACCUUUAACUGGAGAAUAGCCCGAAGAAAUUCGGAUUAAUACUCCAUAAUACUAUGGAUUGGCAUCUUUUUAUAGUUAAAGCUCCGGCGGUUAAAGAUGGGCAUGCGUAACAUUAGUUUGUUGGUGAGGUAACGGCUCACCAAGACUACGAUGUUUAGGGGGUCUGAGAGGAUGGUCCCCCACACUGGUACUGAGACACGGACCAGACUCCUACGGGAGGCAGCAGUGAGGAAUAUUGGUCAAUGGGCGCAAGCCUGAACCAGCCAUGCCGCGUGAAGGAUGACAGCGCUACGCGUUGUAAACUUCUUUUGUACAGGAAGAAACGCU
rnacentral:rRNA from 1 species